rnacentral:rRNA from 1 species
UACAGAGGGUGCGAGCGUUAAUCGGAAUUACUGGGCGUAAAGCGCACGUAGGCGGACUUUCAAGUCAGGGGUGAAAUCCCGGGGCUCAACCUCGGAACUGCCUUUGAUACUGUUGGUCUUGAGUCCGGAAGAGGUGGGUGGAAUUCCUAGUGUAGAGGUGAAAUUCGUAGAUAUUAGGAAGAACACCGGUGGCGAAGGCGGCCCACUGGUCCGGUACUGACGCUGAGGUGCGAAAGCGUGGGGAGCAAACAGG